CAGUCGGUCUCUGCACAUUGUCGGGGAAGAAGCUCUGCCUUGAAGAGGACUUUAUCAGAGAAACUGGUUGGGGGCUGUCCGCCUUGGAGACUAUAAGCUAACAGGGGUAGAGCCUGGUACUUAAAGAUUACCUCAGUAUGAAAACUUCUGAUGAAGAUUGUCAACAAAAGACACCUCCUUAUUGCCCAACUGGUGGAGAAUGUGGUCAUUCUGAACCCUCCCUCCAAGGGUGGAAAAGGUAGAGUCUCUUUUGCAGCAGCUCCAGCUGCAACAGCAGCAAUUUCACCAGCUCCAGCUGCAGCAACAUCGAUUUCAAAGACCUUCAGCAGCAACAGUAGGAAUUUAAAAAAUAGCUGCAAUUGCAAUAGCAGGAUUUCUUACAGCAAGUGGUAUGACAACAGAACCUGGGUCAAGGGGGUGGAGACUCUGUACACCCUAAGAGCAGGCCUGGGGUUCUGACCAAGAUGGGGCCAGCCGAUGACCCAGAAGCCUUUUUAGCCACGUUUGAAUGUGUGGCAGAGGCAUACGAGUGGGUCCGGGACACGUGAGCCAUGUGGGUGGCCCCACUUCUUACGGGGGAAGCCCAACCUGCUUAUCACGUGUUGGGGUUGGAGGCGGUUCGAGACUACAGGAUAAGUAAAGUGGCAAUUCUUGACUGCCUGAGCCUCACUGAGGAUGCUUACCAGGGCUGGUUUAGAACUGAGGCCUGCAACCAUCCCCAAGCUAUGGCUCAGAGACUAAAGGAUUGAUGUACCUGGUGGCUCCACCCAGGUAACCGAUCAGCGGGGAAGAUUGCAGAACUGGUGGCACUGGAGCAAUUUUGCAUUAUCCUCCUUGUAGAGAUGCAGAAGUGAGAAUAAAGCCUUUGCGUGGCCACUCUAAAAGAA